rnacentral:rRNA from 1 species
CAAUAGCGUAUAUUUAAGUUGUUGCAGUUAAAAAGCUCGUAGUCGGAUUUUGGCUGAGAACGAUCGGUCCGCCGUUAGGUGUGCACUGAUUGGUCUCAGCUUCCUGGUGAGGAGGUGUGCUUCACGGCCACUUAGUCACCGUGGUUACUUUGAAAAAAUUAGAGUGCUCAAAGCGGGCUUACGCUUGAAUAUAUUAGCAUGGAAUAACACCAUAGGACUCCUGUCCUAUUUCGUUAGUCACGGGACGGGAGUAAUGAUUAAGAGGAACAGUUGGGGGCAUUCGUAUUUCAUUGUCAGAGGUGAAAUUCUUGGAUUUAUGAAAGACGAACUUCUGCGAAAGCAUUUGCCAAGGAUGUUUUCAUUGA